rnacentral:rRNA from 1 species
UACGAAGGGGGCUAGCGUUGCUCGGAAUUACUGGGCGUAAAGCGCACGUAGGCGGAUUGUUAAGUCGGGGGUGAAAUCCUGGAGCUCAACUCCAGAACUGCCUUCGAUACUGGCGAUCUCGAGUUCGGGAGAGGUGAGUGGAACUGCGAGUGUAGAGGUGAAAUUCGUAGAUAUUCGCAAGAACACCAGUGGCGAAGGCGGCUCACUGGCCCGAUACUGACGCUGAGGUGCGAAAGCGUGGGGAGCAAACA